rnacentral:rRNA from 1 species
AUGCAGGAGUCCCUGUCGGAGCAGGGCGGUGACGGCCGGCGUAGAUCGACGGGCGGGCGCUGCCUGACGUUCUUCUGCCCGUGCGUGGCCUUCGGGAGGAUCGCCGAGAUAGUCGACAGGGGAGGCACAUCGUGCUGUGUGAGCGGGACGCUGUACAUGCUGCUGGCCUCGGUGACGGGGGGAUGGGGCUGCCUCUACUCCUGCUGCUACCGCUCCAGGCUGCGGGAGCAGUACGGGCUCAAGGAGAAGCCCUGCGCCGACUGCUGCGUCCACUGGUCCUGCGAGUUCUGCGCCCUGUGCCAGGAGUACCGCGAGCUCAAGAACCGCGGCUUUGACAUGCGCCUCGGGUGGCACGCCAACAUGGAGAAGAUGGGGAAGAGCGCUGCCACCGUCGCGCCUCAGGCUUACUCGGGGAUGACUCGCUAG